GUGUGUGAAGAAGCCUGCGGGUUGUAAAGCACUUUAAGCAGGAGGACGGGAAGCGGGGCUAAUACCCUUGCCUCUCGACGUUACCUGCAGAAUAAGCACCGGCUAACUUCGUGCCAGCAGCCGCGGUAAUACGAAGGGUGCAAGCGUUAAUCGGAAUUACUGGGCGUAAAGCGCGUGUAGGCGGUUGGCUAAGUCAGAUGUGAAAGCCCCGGGCUCAACCUGGGAAUUGCAUUUGAUACUGGCUGGUAGAAUGUGGUAGAGGGAGGCGGAAUUCCCGGUGUACGGUGAAAUGCGUAGAUAUCGGGAAGAACACCAAUGGCGAAGGCAGCCUCCUGGGCCAACAUUGACGCUGAGACGCGAAAGCGUGGGGAGCAAACAGGAUUAGAUACCCUGGUAGUCCACGCCCUAAACGAUGAGAACUAGACGGUGGGGAGGUCACUUCUCGCUGUCGUAGCUCAACGCGUUGAUUCU
rnacentral:rRNA from 1 species